rnacentral:rRNA from 1 species
UACAGGAAGUGCAACGUUGCUCGGAAUUAUUGAGCGUAAAGCGCGCGUAGGCAGCUACUUAAGUCGGAUGUGAAAGCCCCUGGCUCAACUGGAAAGUGCACCCGAACUGAGUAGCUUGAGUGCGAAAGAGGUCGCGGAAUUCCCGGUGUAGAGGUGAAAUUCGUAGAUAUCGGAGGAACACCGGUGGCGAAGGCGGCGACCUGGGUCGACACUGACGCUGAGGCCGCGAAAGCG